GUUUGCCCUUUUCUCUUGGUGCUUCAGUACUGAAUGCUGCCAUUUUCCAGCAGAGGCACUAAUCUGGAGGUUAGGUUAGGCUACAUUAAGGUUUUGUUGGACAAUUUCCAGAUGUUACAUCGCAUUACAGUACUAAAGUCUAUUCUAAUUUGAUAUAAUGACGAUAAAAAAAAUAGAGUUGUUAUCGAUGACUCUAGAGGCAUGUCCAUCAGUUUUGUUACCUGAUGUUGUAAUGUGUUUUUACGUUG
rnacentral:misc_RNA from 1 species